rnacentral:rRNA from 1 species
UGGGGAAUCUUGCGCAAUGGGCGGAAGCCUGACGCAGCGACGCCGCGUGCGGGACGAAGGCCUUCGGGUACGUAAACCGCUUUCAGCAGGGACGAGGCCCUCACGGUGACGGUACCUGCAGAAGAAGCCCGGCUAACUACGUGCC